GAUUAUUCGUGGGACACAAGGAAUAGGAGGAUACAGCUAAAACCAACAUCUCAGAGGGAUGAACUGGUCACUAAGGAGCUGCCAAUGAUGGAAAGCUUGUAUCUGUGGCUCGUCGCUCUAUACUUUCCGGUAGCAGGGGUUAAACCAAAAUUCUCAAU